GGAUCCCUUUCCUUUCUUCUCUCUCCAGUGUAGACAUGUAAAUUUCGUUGCAUGCAAAUGAUGUAUCAUAAAGCUCCACAUGACACAUGACUCAUCACAAAUGGACAAGUCAUCAAUGACACGUGGCACAAAUCAAGCAAAGGAAGUACACAAUCUUCCCAAAAUUCAGCACAAGGGAGAAAGUAUCCUUUAAAAUCGGCAAACAUGCCCAAAUUGCUCCCAAAACCGGAAAGAAAGCUAAAGCAUCUUCAUAAAACAAGCAAGUAUUGAAGAUAGCUCACAAAAUAGGCAACAAGGUCUAUAAAUUUCGGCCAAUAUAAGGAAAAGUAAUUGAAAUUAAGACACAAAACAUGCCUAAAUCCUCCUAUGGAUGAAUCAAGACCAUAUCAAGGCCAAAUCCAUCCAAAGGCAUGGCUUUGG
rnacentral:lncRNA from 1 species